UCUCUAGACCACAGCUCCUUUCAAAAUCCCUAAAACGCAAGCAUCUUCCAACCUGUUAGCCUUGGUUACUCGUCAUGGGCCUGCUGAAGAACAGUCCAAAGAUGGGAACGAGCCACGGGAAUGUGUCCAUUGCCUCUUAGUGCAAGGAAGUGAGAGGCAGCGGGCCGAGCAGCAGAGCAAGGCAGUGUUUGGCAGAUCUGUUAGUACUGGGAAGUUAUCAGAUCAACAAGGAAAGACUCCUAUAUGUCGACAUCAGGGCAGCACAGACAGUUUAAAUACAGAACGACCAAUGGAUAUAGUGGGGCCCAGCAACUCCGGGGGCUCUCUGUGUGCCAUGAGUGGCCGCGUGUGUGUGGGGUCCCCGCCUGGCCCAGGCUUCGGCUCUUCCCCUCCAGGAGCAGAGGCAGCUCCCAGCCUGAGAUACGUGCCUUACGGUGCUUCACCCCCCAGCCUAGAGGGGCUCAUCACCUUUGAAGCCCCUGAACUGCCGGAGGAGACGCUGAUGGAGCGAGAACACACAGACACCUUACGCCAUCUGAAUGUGAUGCUGAUGUUCACUGAGUGUGUGCUGGACCUGACAGCCAUGAGGGGAGGAAACCCUGAGCUGUGCACAUC
rnacentral:sRNA from 1 species